rnacentral:lncRNA from 1 species
GUAUAAAAUCCCCAAUCCCCGAUGUUAAGAUACUACUCAGCAUGCAUGAUACUUCAAGAAUCAAGAUAAUAGCCAUACCCUGCUUCCUACCUGCUCCUUAGAGUACCCAAAUUUGGAAAGGUACUCAAUGGCAUUCAGAACUGCACGUUUGUAGGCAACAGAUGCAUCAAGAAAAUGCUGCUUCCCAGACUCAUCUACACUGAUGCCCUCAAACACCAACCACUCUGAGAAACGUGGCUCAACAGGACCUAUCUCAAAGAUAGGGCUCACAUGAAGUGGUGUUGGACCAACUGGGGUUAAGUAUUCCUUCAUCCCACCUCUUAUGAUCUCACACCUAUACAGGGUGCAAGGAAUUUUUAGAAGCAGGCAACGAAAAGUGUAAACCAACGAGCCGUUUUGGGCUGUUUAAUAAACUCAGGUGGGGAAUCUCCCCCCCGUUGACCCUCAAAAAAAAAGUGUAUUUUACAUAGGCAGAUUUUAUUUAUCCAACAACGCCCACCACGUGCCUCCGUGUUAGUCAGGAAUAGGAUGUUAUGGUGUUGUGGGUAUUUUCUGUGUUUUAAUCUGUGCCUAUGUAAGAUUUGCAGGCCUGAUUUGCCUUAUAAACUAAGCCAACUCUAUUAUUGAGAAAGGCAGAGCUCCUGCCAUUACUUUGAAAAAAAAUUGUUUAUCCAAUUGCGCAUUCAUAAGAGUGUGGUUCAGAAACAAUUGAUUCCGACUACACACAAAUGGAGUGAGUUUUUAGAAUACCAGGGACGAACCCCUGCCCACUGCAAAUGGAGUGAGUUUAAUCCCAGCAAAUAAUGCACUGUGCCAUAAUAUAUAUUAACUAUAAAUCACUAAGGUCCAUAACUUCUUAUGAUUAUAGGAUAGAAGCAUCAAUUAAAGCAAUUCCAUGGAACAGAAUAUGCCAAAAUCUGACAAUAGAUUUUCUAAUCCUAUGAGUUCACUUAUUCAUAUUGUACAUUUGCUAUCUCAGAAGUUCUAUGCAAGAAGCACUGAAGAUAGCUGGUGCUAGUAUUACUGAACUAGUUUCUUUAUUAAAUAUAUGAUGGAAUCUUAAUAUUAAGUUUCCUAACACUGGUGGAUCCAAUUUUGACGCAUUGUAUAUCAUAAAACAUUGUAUAUCAUGUAGUAUAAAGUGUAAAUAAGAACAAAAUUUAUUACUUGAGCUCAAGGAAUCCACUCAUUUCAAUUGCUCCACACAACGAAAUUUCACCAUCGCCCUGGGAGAAGUGCAUAUCACCAGUGCUAAGAUUUGCUCCUUCAACAAAUACUGGUAGAUAAACUUUGGAGCCUCUACUUAGAUUCUUUAUGUCACAAUUCCCUCCAUUUUCCCUUCCAGCAAUAGUUCUGGCUGCUUCAUUUGCAAUUUUGUGCCAUUCAGCAGUCCCUUCUUGGACCUGCAUGGCAUUGUAUACAUCACAAACAUGGUACUGCAGAUUAGAGAUGCUUUUGGGUGGCAUGACUUUCCGACGUCAAAACAUAAUAUCAUGUAUGAUUGAUUGCCAAGGAGGCUGGAAGUCCCUCGGAGACUUGUGUUAAUUUUCUUUGCCGCCCUUUCAUGGGCAAUUUGGAAAAAUAGGAACAGUAUGGUUAUUCAGAAAGUUUUCCCUGCAAACCCUGAUGUGGUACUUUACAACGCAAUCACCCUUCUGCAAAUGUGGAGAGAGCUUACGAAGGACGCCGACAAGAUACAAUCUUCUAAGAUAGUGGAGGGCCUAGAGACAUGGAUCAGCAAGCUUGAUCGGCUUCAAACUUUUAAUUCAGAAAUUGCUAUCUUGUAAUAGUGUUUCAUGUUGAGGAUGUUAGUAGUGUGGCUUGGUUGCUAUCUGUUUUGUCUUUUCACGUUCUCAUAAACUGGUAUCACCAGUAUGUAAACUCUAAUUGCUUUCUCAAAAGCAGAGGUAAUCUCCUUUCAAAAAAAAAAUGGUACUGCAGCCACACACUUCAGAUCUGCUAGCUUAAGAUCUGCACACAAAACCUUUUACUUGUGCUCUAGGAAAUGUAAAAAGAUUAAAGUGAAAAACAAAUGAUCAUGCCUUCCCAAGUAAGCAAUUGUCAGGAGUCGGUAAAGGAACAAGGGGCCUCUGGUGUAGAACUUCACACAGUGUAAGAGUCUCUGGCCUUGUCUCAGACAAUCUUUUUUCUCUUUCAUUCCAUAUAUUAAGAAGCUCAACUGAUGGUGCAGUUCCCACUACACCAGGAUGAGUUAUUCCAGGAAAACGAACACCUGGUAUAUGCAAAAAUCGAAUUAUUGAAGGAUCCAAAUCUUGAAAGCUUCGCUCACAGCAACAAGAAGAAACUGUACCUGGUAUCUGAGGGGAGUAUGCGUAAAUUCCUUCGAAAUACCAAAUGGCUUUUCUUGUGCUAGGGAAGUGGUCAGUUAAGAAUCCACCUCCAUUCUCCCUUUCAAGUAUUGCAGUAUAACCCCACUCGUCGCCAGGAAGUGGGCCAAGGUUGCAGAUCUCUACCGCGAGAAGAUCACCUGGUGAAGCUGGAACCCCUUCAGAAUCAACUAUCCUUAGUGGCCCACUAAGAUAAUGAGCCUGUGGAAUAUCUGUAGUCAGUUUGGCUCACAAUAGACGAAGCACUGGAACAAAGGGAAAAUUAAAUGACAACUCCAGCAGAAGGAUAAAAAAAAUACAAACUUACAACUGUGAAAUCCAUGAAUUUCAGAUCGUCUGCAGAGUUAUCAUCCCUAACCCGCCCUCCACUCCAAUCCACCAUCUCGACACGGAACAAUUCCCCUUCGGUUACAUCAGCAACAGGAGGGAUAUCCGGAUGCCAGCGGUUGUGGAGAGGGACCUUUUGCUCCCAUGGCUGCUUCUUGACAUCUAUGGGCACUACCAGUCUAGGAGUCAGAGGAGCCAUGUUUCUUACAGUAUCUCCUCAAGAGCUUCUUCCCUUUGGAAGCUUUGUGCAGCUCUUUAUAAUGGUAGGAUAGGCAUGUUGAUGAAUCUGCUAAUGGUAAAAACAGGUGUUUGGAGUUCUAAGUCAGUAUCAAGUCAAUCACUAUAAGGCCUUGUUUAGUUCCGAAAAGAUUUCGGAUUUCGGUACCGUAGCACUUUCGCUACUUUCGUUUGUUUGUGGCAAAUAUUAUUCAAUUAUAGACUAACUAGGAUUAAAAGAUUUGUCUCGCGAUUUACAAGCAAACUGUGUAAUUAGUUUUUGUUUUCGUCUAUAUAUAAAACUUCAUGCAUGUACCGCAAGAUUCGAUGUGAUAGAAAAUCUUAAAAAUUUUUUGGUUUUCGGGGUGAACCAAACAAGGCCUAAGAUCAGGUAGGAAUUUAUUGUUGGUCUGGCCCAUCCCUGUAGACUAUCCAGAGCCAAGACGGUGAUGUAGGCCUUGUCCUUGUUUAGUUCCAAAAUAUUUUCCAAAAUCGACACGGUAGCUCUUUCGUUUGUAUUUGACAAAUAUUGUCCAAUCAUAGACUAAGUAGACUCAAAAGAUUCGUCUCGUCAAUUUCUACCAAACUGUGCAAUUAGUUUUUAUUUUUGUCUAUAUUUAAUACUUCAUGCAUGUGUCUAAAGAUUUGAUGUGACGAGAAAUCUGAAAAAUUUUGCAAAAUUUUUUGGAAACUAAACAAGGCCCUUGUUUAGUUUCAAUUUUUUUUGGUUUUGGAUACUGUAGCAUUUUUGUUUUUAUUUGACAACUAUUGUUUAAUCAUGGACUAACUAAGCUCAAAAGAUUUAUCUCGUGAUUUAUAAAUAAACUGUGUAAUUAGUUUUUGUUUUCGUCUAUAUUUAAUACUCCAUGCAUGUGCCGCAAGAUUUGACGUGAUGAAAAAUCUUGAAAAGUUUUUUAUUUUUUGGGUAAACUAAACAAGGCCUUAUUGUCUUGUUCUAGAGCAGUACCAACCAACUUGGCUUUGUCUCGUCCAUUUGUGUUUUCCACAGGCUACAACAUGCAACACUUACUCCCUAUGUCCUUUUUUUAAUUGUCGCCGUUGGUGUGUGUGCCACAAGUUUGACUCGAUUUGUAGAAAAUACAUGUAAUAUUUGUAUCUCUAAAUAAAUUUGUUAAAAAACUAGAUUCAAAGAUCUUUCUAAUGAUACUAAUUAUGUAUUAUAAAUAUUAAUAUUUUUUAAUAUAUAAUUGUCGACAUUUGUUUUUCGGGAAGCACAAGCAACAAUUAAAAAGGGACCGAGGGAGUAUGUACACUGGUGCACAAAAUUGUUUUUUUUUGCAGAUGCCAACGUAACCCGAAUUUCCAUCCCCGCAACUCUAGGGGAUGCCACACUCACAUACAAAGUUUUCCUUCCUGCUAAACUGGACAACACCAUACAAGAUGGGAUAAUAAUAAUGACCGGGGCUUUCCUGCCCUGAAACUCUAAAAAAAUAAUAUAGAGCUGGCUUGAAGAAAUUCUGCAAGUAGUAUGUAGUAGAUGUUGCUAACAGUGUGUGUCGGUAUCUUGUGUGUGGAAGGUAGAGUGGAUCUUUCGCAAUUGCUACUUCGCUCCAACCACUACCUGGCUCUUUCAUAUUAGGUCUUGUUUGGAUGUUAUCGGAUUCACCUCAUUCCAGAUGUGUUGUAGUGGAUUGAGGUGGAAUUUAGUUUAAGUUCCACUCCAACCCAUCCCAACAUAUGUGAAUUGAUGCGAAUCCGACUACAUCCAAACGAGACCUUAUAGUUGUUUUUUUUUUCCUGGUGGACACCACUGAAGCGUGGUUCUUUGUCAAGCACACUGUGCUGGACCCUUCUGAGACGGUGAGACCUCGACUCUAGGGGAUGUCACACAAACGUCACAUACAACGUUCUGCCUUCCUGCUAAACUGGACAAGUGGACAAGACCAUAGAAGAAGGGGCAACCUAGAGCUGGCUUCUCUUGAAAAAAAUCUGCAACUUGCUAGUAUGUACCUAAAAGUUCAAGAUCUAUUCGAAGAAGCAGAGUUGAGAAGUACUUCUGCAGAAAGCUACAUUAGUAUUUCAAUUUAAGAGUUAUUGGAAGUAUUGUAUAACUUUCCUAUUACAAGAUAUAAUUGCCAGUCUUGAGCCAACAGUGGAAAUACAAAGUUUUACCUACCAUUUAAUACAGUUUUAUUAAUCCAAAUCUCUAUUCAGCAUACAGUUGGUAAAGCUUGAAAAUAAAUAAUAAAGGAUUGCAUAAAAUAAGAGUUAAAGACUAAAUUGAUUUACACAACCAAAAAUAUAUGUUAUCAUUUAUCUGUGCUAUCACAAAGAUGCUUCAUCUUAUUAACCUUUUAAAUGUCAUAAAGUGUGUGUUCAGCUUCCAAACCAUUCGUGAUCUAGCUGGUAGUGAAAGAAAGGGCAACAGUACAGAUUGACUGAACCACAACUCCACAAUGCUCAUUCCAUCAAAUAUCCACCACUCAUAUAUAGUUCUCUGAGUUGUCACGUGUCCUCUAACAUCAUCCUAAGGCUACAACCAGCAUCAUUUGUCAUUUGCCAAACUCAUUUCUUCACCCGCUUUAGGACUUCUUCAGCCUGCAGAGGCCUUUUCAGGAGUUCAGCAGCAUCUGUCUAUAGUAUGCUAGUACUGGAUUAACAGUGUGUGUUGGUUUAACAGUUAUGUGCAAGGUAGAGUGAAUCUGUCACAACUGCUACUUCGCUCCAGCCACUGCCAGCUGCCUGGUUCUUUCAUAUUAUACCAUCCUCACUUCACUGCUAGCUACAUACUUAUGUGUGAAGUCAUUUCUUUUUCUUUUUUUAACGAAAGUGUGAAGUCAUUUCUCGAGCUGAGCCUAUGACCAUAGUACCACUCUCCUCUCAGCAUGACAUCGACAAGAUCACGAACCCAAAUAAGGAAAUUUCUAGAGAGUAAAAUUAAUGCACAACUUUGUAGCAAUACAGACACAGACAAUAUGGCACCACUCAGGUGUCUCUGUCCUCAUACAUGAUGACUGCCUGACAAAUCAAAGGUCUACAUUAUGGAUUCCAGGUCAAGUACAUGAUGAUCCUUGGAAGUUGGAAAUAUCAAGAUGAUUAUUUUUGUGUAUAAAGUAGAAGGAUACGGCAUCAAUUUACAGAUCAUAUAUGCCCCUAGGGCGCCCUUGUACUACUUUGGUCUUGGGUGACAGGAAGACCAUUGUUUGAGCAGCUCAGGAGAUCUGGAAGUCUUAUCAAUUUUGGUCUCAGCCUUCCUCUCAAGUGCUUUGGCCUUAUAUCCUAUGUUAACAAUUGAAACGUUAUGCAGUGAAGUUAAGAAAAAAAGGAUCCAUGUAAAAGAAUACUUAUGAAGCAAUGACUAGUUUGCUAUAAACUAGGAGAAGGCCAAGUUUGAAUCGCGAAGUACUCCCUCCAUCCAAAAUUAUAAGACGUUUGACUUUUUUGACCUCAAGUUUGACCAUUCAAAAAAUUUGUACAGAGUCAAAUUUAAUUCAGUCUUGUAGAACUUUUAUUAAUAAACCAAGUCACAACCAAAAAAAAAGUAAAAUUUUUCACAAAUUUUUGAAUAAGAUGACUGGUCAAACUUAGUGUCAAAGAAGUCAAACGUCUUAUAAUUUGGGAUGGAUUGAGUAGUAAGCAAAUUCGAUCUGUCAUUACUGAAAAUAAUGUACUCUCUCUCUCUCUCUCUCUCUCUCUCUCUCUCUCUCUCUCUCUCCCCCUCUCCCUCUCCCUCUCCCUCUCUCUCUCCACCCUGGCUAUUGUGUCUGCUUCAUGUAACUCCCUCCCUCCCUCGCCAAGUUUGAAUCGCGAAGUAGUAAGCAAAUUCGAUCUGUCAUUACUGAAAAUAAUGUAUUCACCCUGGCUAUUGUGUCUUGUUCAUGUGACUCCCUCCCUCCCUCCCUCCCUCCCUCCCUCCUGUGACCGCCCCCACGGUUUUCCAAUUAAGAAGGAGAUUUUGUCUCCCAACUGAGAAAACCCCUGACCCCUGAACCCCGCUGCACACCCAGGACAGCAAGCCAUUGCUUGGGCCGGCCCACAAUCAACAAACCCCUGGUUGGACUGCAUCAUUGCCACAAGCCGGAUGCCCCACAGGAGGCGCGGCGAGGGGAUUUUUUUACCCCCGCCUGAAAAAUCGUUCCCACGGGGAGUCGAACUCAGAACCUGGGGGGUGCCGCCGAAAUUCCCUAACUACUUGGUCUAGAAUCCUUUUGUGAAAAUGAACAGUAGAGAAGGAACAACAACAAAUACAAUACACCACAGUAAAAAGGAAUAAGGAAAUUGUGUUGAUCUGUUAGAGGGCGAACCUGAUCAAAUAUUGCUGUAGGGAUGGCAAGAGUUGCCACUGCAUUAGGAGAGUCUACUAUUCCAGAGAUCCUACCCUCACAAGGACAGCAUGAUAGUAAGAGAUACACCUGUAUAAAAUCCCCCAAUGUUAAGGCAAUAUACAACAUAUAUGGUACUUAGAGGAUAAUCAUUAGUUACCCUACUGCCUACCUGCUCCUUGGAGUACCCAAAUCUGGAAAGGUACUCAAUGGCAUUCAGGACUGCACGCUUAUAAGCAACUGAUGCAUCAAGGAAAUGCUGCCGCCCAGAUUCAUCGACACUUAUGCCCUCAA